rnacentral:rRNA from 1 species
AUUGAACGCUGGCGGCAGGCCUAACACAUGCAAGUCGAGCGAGCGGCGGACGGGUGAGUAAUGUAUGGGGACUGCUCGAUAGAGGGGGAUAACUAAUGGAAACGGUAGCUAAUAACGCAUACUAUCGGAUAACCCAGAUGGGAUUAGCUAGUAGGUGAGGUAAUGGCCAACCUAGGCGACGAUCCCUAGCUGGUCUGAGAGGAUGAUCAGCCCAACGGGAACUCGGACAGGGCCCAUACUCUUACGGGGGCGGCAGUGGGAAUUUUUGCACAAGGGGCGCAAGCCGGAUGCAGCCAUGCCGCGUGGUGGAAGAAGGCCCUAGGGUUGUAAAGUCCUUUCAGUCGGGAGGCGUUACCAACAAAAGAAGCACCGGCUAACUCCGGGCCAGCCGCCGCGGUAAUAC